GCUUGCAGUGAGCCGAGAUUGCGUCACCGCACUCCAGCCUGGGCGACAGAGCGAGACUCCGUCUCAAAAAAAAUGACUGGACAAAAAACACUCUGAUGCAAACAGGCAAGAAACCCAGCAAGGCCUAUCUGGAUUCUCCUUGGCCUGUCUGCAGCAUUCAUUCCUUCUGGGUAUGGAACAGGACCCUCUGGAAUGGGGGCUGUGGCCUACAACAGUUAAACAAGAGAGCAGAGAAAUGAUUAAAGACUUCUGGAGUCAUGUCCAAAGGACCCAGCCAACUAGAAGAGGCUCCUAUUGGCCAUGGAUAGGACAAUUUGAGUUUCAAUAAAGUGAACUAAAGGGCUCCCAAAAUCUCUCCUGCAGCAUUUUCCUUGAGAAGGAGGAAGGUUUGCAUCUCUGUGAGAAGAAACAUCAGAAGCAGUUGAAAGACCAGGAUGUGGGUCCUCUGGGGCUGAGGAGGCAUUCUGAAUCAACUGUGUGUUCUACACCUGUGUUUUAACUGUGACCUGUCACAUGAGGACAAGUGUGGAAUUUCCCACUUUUGUGCCAUAAAUCUCUCUCUGGGAACAGUGUGGAAGAUGGAUUGAAAUGGUGUAAAAUUGAAGAUGUGGACUCCGGUUGGGAGACUACACCCUAGAUAAGAUGAAGAGAACUUGAAGCAAGACAAUAGCAAUGGGAAUAUAAAGGAGAGGAGACAUUUGAGUGAAAUUAAGGAAGCACAAUCUGCAGACUGUUUUCUUUUUUUUAAGAGUCAGGGUCUCCCUAUUUUGCCCAGGCUGGUCUCAAAGUCCUAGGCUCAAGCGACCCACCCACCUCAGCCUUCCAAAAUGCUGGAAUUACAGGGGUGAACUGCCUCACCAUGCCUCAGUCUGCAGAAUUUGAUGACUGAAUGUAUUUGGAGAGAGUCUGUGGCUUGGAUGACUGGGAGCUGUGAUUGGUUGAUUGAUUUUGAGGCGGAGUUUCACUCUUGUUGCCCAGGCUGAAGUGCAGUGGCACAACCUCUGCUCACUGCAACCGCUGCC
rnacentral:lncRNA from 1 species